ACGCUGGCGGCAGGCCUAACACAUGCAAGUCGAGCGGUAGCACGGGAGAGCUUGCUCUCUGGGUGACGAGCGGCGGACGGGUGAGUAAUGUCUGGGAAACUGCCUGAUGGAGGGGGAUAACUACUGGAAACGGUAGCUAAUACCGCAUGACCUCGCAAGAGCAAAGUGGGGGACCUUCGGGCCUCACGCCGUCGGAUGUGCCCAGACGGGAUUAGCUAGUAGGUGGGGUAAUGGCUCACCUAGGCGACGAUCCCUAGCUGGUCUGAGAGGAUGACCAGCCACACUGGAACUGAGACACGGUCCAGACUCCUACGGGAGGCAGCAGUGGGGAAUAUUGCACAAUGGGCGCAAGCCUGAUGCAGCCAUGCCGCGUGUGUGAAGAAGGCCUUAGGGUUGUAAAGCACUUUCAGCGAGGAGGAAGGCGUUGUAGUUAAUAGCUGCAACGAUUGACGUUACUCGCAGAAGAAGCACCGGCUAACUCCGUGCCAGCAGCCGCGGUAAUACGGAGGGUGCAAGCGUUAAUCGGAAUUACUGGGCGUAAAGCGCACGCAGGCGGUUUGUUAAGUCAGAUGUGAAAUCCCCGAGCUUAACUUGGGAACUGCAUUUGAAACUGGCAAGCUAGAGUCUUGUAGAGGGGGGGUAGAAUUCCAGGUGUAGCGGUGAAAUGCGUAGAGAUCUGGAGGAAUACCGGUGGCGAAGGCGGCCCCCUGGACAAAGACUGACGCUCAGGUGCGAAAGCGUGGGGAGCAAAC
rnacentral:rRNA from 1 species